UUAUACUUAAUAUAGUGAAUAUUCAGAAAAACCCAAUUAAACCUAAAUUAGAUAAGAAACACAAGGAAAAAAACUCAAAUUGAUAAGAAAUCGCGGAAGAAACCCAAUUAAAUCCAAAUUAAACAAUAGAAUCAACUGAAAGUAAAAGUUACACAAAAAAAGGGUUUACCUUAUUCUAGCUCCACAAAACAUGGUUCCUCUUUUUUUGCGAGGAUCUAGGAGGAAAGAGUCUGCGAGGUUCUAGGAGGAAAGAGAGGGAUCCACAUAAAUCUAGUAUUUGACUGGAGAAGAGCUACCACAGAUGCUGAGCCGGCUGAAGCAAGUUUAAUUGAACAGCUAGUUAAGGAGUUCUUGGGUGGAAAUUGUAGGAGAAGGCAAGGUUUUUUUUAUUCAUUAUGUAAUACACCUACACUAAUCUUCUAUUUCUCCAACCAUUCUUCUAGUCAACUGUAAUAGUAACUGACAAAUAAGUUUUGCUGUUAUCAUCUAUAUAAAUUUAAAUAAUAAAAUUUUAGAAACUUCUGUAUAAACUCUUUGUUGCACGGUACAUAGAUACUUGGCACAAUUAACCAUAAACUUAACAUUCCAAACUAGCUACAAGAAACAUCAAUUGCAGACACGAAUUCUGGUCUCCAAACAUUCCAAACUAGCUACAAGAAAAAAUCUUUGGUGGUUUCCAAGGUUCAGGAUGGCUUGUCAACAGAAGCAUAUAGAAGUGUCCUGCCAAAGAUUAUGUACUGAACAAAAGAAACAUUGGUGGCAAAAGUCUACCCAAAAAAACAUUGAUGGACAAAAAGUCUACCGAAUAUCCACCAAAAAAUUGCAACUAUUGACUAUAAAUUAUACCAAAAAAAAAGACUUACCAUGAAAAUAACAAAGGAGGACCAUGAAAAUGCUUCCAAGGUAGAGAUAUAUGACAGAGUACAUCAAAUACCAACAAUUUGCAAUAUGACAAAGGACCUGUUUUCAACUUCGACCGGAAGUGGUUAACAUGAAGUUAACUUUAAGCAAUUAACCUAUACAGUAUCGACACAGAAGUCGAGAGACGAUCUCUCUCUGCGUGUCAGCGCUGUAAUGAUCAAUUGACCAACUUACAUAGUAACCAAACCCACUUCAACCAUAUGGGAAAAUAAUCUUCACAACUAGCUAUGCUGUCAACAUUAUUCGAUUUCUGCAAUGAACUAAAGACUACUAAUGACAACAAUUUACAUCAUACUCUUACACUAUAUAAAAUCAAAAAAGUAAACUUUAACUCAUUUGUAAAAAAAUAGACUUUAUUUGGAUUUGAUACUAGGAAAAGGCAAACAAAGGAAUAGAAUAUGAAAAGUAAGUCCUUAAAGAAAAGAUUGAUCAGAAAUUUGGCUUGGAUUUCUCUUAAAAGAGAAAAAAAUAGAGCGCUCAGUAAUUUCAACUUCAAUCAUCUGGGGAAAUAAUCAUCACAUCCAUCUAAAAUAUUUAAUUACUAAAUUUCAACAAUAAAACAAAAAAUAUACAAGUGAUAACAAUCUAUAAACAUCUAAAGUAGAAUUCCAACUAAAUUUUAUCUAUAUGGUGUAAUAGUAUAUGCAAAUUGCAAUGUCAUAGAUAAUUAAUUAGAAGACAAAUAUAUGUAAAUAUAGCUCAGAGAAUUAUAUAUAAAAAUGAGAUGGAUCAGAAAUCUGGCUUGGAUUUUUCUCAAAGAGAAAAAUAAAAAUAGCACAGUAAUUUCAGCUUCGAUCAUCUGGGGAAAUAAUCAUCACAUCCAUCUCUUUUAUUCUCAUUACUAAAUUUCAACAACAAAAUAAAAAUUCUAAUAACCAUAGAAUCCUCUAAACAUCUAAUGUAAAAUUAAAUCUUUUACUCUGAUCAGGUCACAUGCAAUAUGCAUAAAAAGAGGCAUUUAUAGCAUUUUAAUUUAACAAUGUUGUGCAAUCUCAUUCAAACUAUACAUAAAGAUAUAUAUAUACUCACAAAUAACACAUUACACUAUUGAGAGUAGACAGAUAAGAUGGAUCAGAAAUCUGGCUUGGAUUUUUCUCAAAUAGAAAAAUAAAGUUAGCGCUCAGUAAUUUCAGCUUCGAUCAACUGGGGAAAUAAUCGUCACUUCCAUCUCUUUUAUUCUCAUUACUAAAUUUCAACAACAAAAUAAAACUUCUAAUAACGAUAGAAUCCUCUAAACAUCUAAUAUAAAAUUAAAUCUUUUACUCUGAUCAGGUCACAUGCAAUACGCAUAAAAAGAGGCAUUUAUAUCAUUUUAAUUUAACAAUGUUGUGCAAUCUCAUUCAAACUAUACAUAAAGAAAUAUAUAUACUCACAAAUAACACAUUACACUAUUGAGAGUAGACAGAUAAGAUGGAUCAGAAAUCUGGCUUGGAUUUUUCUCAAAUACAAAAAUAAAGUUAGCGCUCAAUAAUUUCAGCUUCGAUCAUCUGGGGAAAUAAUCGUCACUUCCAUCUCUUUUAUUCUCAUUACUAAAUUUCAACAACAAAAUAAAAAUUCUAAUAACGAUAGAAUCCUCUAAACAUCUAAUGUCAAAUUGAGUCUUUUACUCUGAUCAGGUCACAUGCAAUAUGCAUAAAAAGAGGCAUUUAUAGCAUUUUAAUUUAACAAUGUUGUGCAAUCUCAUUCAAACUAUACAUAAAGAAAUAUAUAUACUCACAAAUAACACAUUACACUAUUGAGAGUAGACAGAUAAGAUGGAUCAGAAAUCUGGCUUGGAUUUUUCUCAAAGAGAAAAAUAAAGUUAGCGCUCAGUAAUUUCAGCUUCGAUCAUCUGGGCAAAUAAUCGUCACAUCCAUCUCUUUUAUUCUCAUUACUAAAUUUCAACAACAAAAUAAAAAUUCUAAUAACGAUAGAAUCCUCUAAACAUCUUAUGUAAAAUUAAAUCUUUUACUCUGAUCAGGUCACAUGCAAUACGCAUAAAAAGAGGCAUUUAUAUCAUUUUAAUUUAACAAUGUUGUGCAAUCUCAUUCAAAGUAUACAUAAAGAUGUAUAUAUAUAUAUAUAUAUAUAUAGACUCACAAAUAACAGAUUAAACUAUUGAGAGUAGACAGAUAAGAUGGAUCAGAAAUCUGGCUUGGAUUUUUCUCAAAGAGAAAAAUAAAGUUAGCGCUCAGAAAUUUCAGCUUCGAUCAUAUGGGGAAAUAAUCAUCACUUCCAUCUCUUUUAUUCUCAUUACUAAAUUUCAACAACAAAAUAAA
rnacentral:lncRNA from 1 species